AAACCAAACCAAAUCAAACCAAACUCAAUGCUACUACCCCCUCCCUCCCGUUUCGUUCAAACUGCAAAACCCUAUUUCGUUCUGGGUUGAAGGAUCAAACUGCAAAUCUUGAAAAGGGGAUCUUUCGAUUUUGUUCAACUCUUUCGUUCAAACUGUAAAACCCUAUUUCGUUCUGGGUUGAAGGUUCAAACUGCAUAUCUUCAGAAAGGGAUCGUUUGAUUUCGUUCAUCUUCUUCAAAGAGGGAUGCGAAACAGGGUUUGAAUCAGUUUUGAGCUAAUCCUCCUGAGGCUUUAAAAGAAGGAUUAUGGAAGAUCCAAUGAAUGUAGAUGUUGAAAUUAUGCCUCGGGUUGGCAUGUUGUUUACAUCUGAGCAAGAGGCGUAUGAUUUCUACAAUACGUAUGGAAGAAGAAUGGGGUUUAUUGUCAGAAGAGAGUGGGCACAUAGGAGUAUGAAAGAUAAGAAAACCAUAACUUCAAGGAUAUUCGUAUGUAAUAAACAAGGAAGUCGGAAAAAAGACAAGAGAGAUAUAUACACCGUCAAGCCUCGAGCGGAGACAAGAACCGAGUGUCCUGCACGGAUGGGUAUUGCAAUUAUGGAUGAUGGAAAGUACUAUUGCCGUGAUUUUGUUGAAGAACAUAAUCACCUAUUUCACUUACCAUCUACUAGUCAUAUGUUGAGGCCACAACGAAGUAGACAUGCAGGAGGCAAACAGGACCUUGAGUACACUCGACUAGAUCAAAAGAAUUAUCUUCCAGUUAAACGUCAGCAAAAAUUAUCUUUUGGUGAAGCCGGGAGUUUGCUAUUGUAUUUUGAAAAUCAAAGUAGGGUCAAUCCCUCUUUUAUUUACUCAUUGCAGUUGGAUAAGGAUGAACAUAUAACUAAUAUAUUUUGGGCAGAUCCUAAGAUGAGAAUAGAUUAUGCACAGUUUGGUGAUGUUGUUACCUUUGUUACCACAUUUUGCACGAACAAAGAGUAUAGGCCGUUUGGGAUAUUUACUGGAUUCAAUCAUCACAAAGGAGUCAUCAUAUUUGGGGCUGUGCUUUUGUAUGAUGAGACAGUUGAUUCUUUCAAAUGGUUGUUUGAGGCUUUUUUAAAAGCUAAUGGGCAAAAGAAGCCAAUAACUAUUUUCACAGAUCAAGAUGCGGCAAUGGAAAAGGCAAUAGCUGAGGUGUUACCUGAUACAUGCCACAGAUUGUGUACAUGGCACUUAAUGCAAAAUGGCAUAAAGCAUUUGGGCAACAUGAUGAAGGAUGGUUCAGACUUUCUGGCAGAUUUGAAAAAAUGUGUAUUCCAUUAUGAUGAUGAAUUACAAUUUGAGAAUGCGUGGGGGAAAUUGAGAAGUGAUUAUCCAGUUGAAGAUAGUUCAUGGUUGGAUUGUAUUUACGGACUUAAAGAUAAAUGGGCCAAGUGUUAUAUGAAGAAAACAUUGACUAUCGGAAUGUGGAAUACAAAGCUCAGUGAAAGUAUAAAUGGUGACUUGAAGGAUUUUUUGAGGUCCAGCCUGGAUGUUGUUCAAUUUUUCAAGCACUUCGAAAGGGUUGUGGCCAACAAGCGUGCUAAAGAGUUGGAGGCUGAGUUUGAUGCAAGAAAUAAGCUGCCAAGAAACUUGUUCUCAAAGUCACCUAUUAUGAAGCAAGCAGGAGAAGUUUACACUCCGUUGAUUUUUGAGAAAUUUCAAAAACAGUAUGAGUGGGUUAGUGCUUGUUAUAUCAAACACAAGAGUGAAAGUAAUGUGGUCCACGAGUAUGUAGUUUCUAUUGUUGAUAAGGAAGGUGAAUUUAAAGUGUUUUGUAAUCCAUCUGAGCAAAUGAUUCAUUGUAGUUGUAGGAAGUUUGAGACUUUCGGCAUUCUUUGUCGUCAUGCCUUGAAAAUUCUAGACUAUCUUGAUAUCAAACAUAUUCCUGACGCAUAUAUAUUGAGGAGAUGGACACGGGUAGCAAGAAGUAUUUUUGUGCAAGACAGUAAGGGAAAAGAAGUUGCAGAAGAUGUUCAUAUGGAUUGUUCACAAAGGUAUAUGCGUAUUUGCCCUAAACUGAUUAAGGUUGCAUUAAUAGCAUCAAAUUCAUCUGAGGGUUAUGCUUAUGUGGAUAAGGUUACUGAUGAGAUAUGUAAACAUCUUGAAAAAAUUUCCUCCGAUGGACCACAAGAAGCGGUGUCACUAUUGCAAGGGUUUUCAUCUCAAGCUUCAACAAAUAUAGCCAUGCCCCCCUACUCAAGUGAAACAUGAACUGAAAAUUUAUUCCUUAUUGUUUGUUUGUCUUUUAGAUGAGAUAAUGGUGAACCUCUGGAGAUAUGCAAACUUGGGCGUAGUGCGAUUCGAAACUGGGAUUUGCUCUAGCCCCAGGCAAAUGAACGAACGAACAAAGACAACAAGGAAAUCAAGCUCACUGUUCAAGUUCAAGGAGCUUCUUUUUGUCCAUUCAAACUGCUGAGAACAUUUGUACUUGCAGAGUUUCACAUCGUCUACUUUAUAAUUCCCGACGGCGACAUCCAGUCGCUUAGCAAGUUUUGGUAUCUCUUGCAAUGCUCAGAAGAAGUACCAUCCAUUAAGCAGAGAUUUUUCCACUUCUGGGGAUGCCGCCAUCCACUUGCAAGCUUCAUUAAUAGAGCAAGCACUUCAUUCCUAGUCUCAAUCCUUCUUAUUUUAGCUAUGGAUUUCCAAAUAUCA